rnacentral:rRNA from 1 species
UACGUAGGGGGCGAGCGUUGUCCGGAAUUAUUGGGCGUAUAGGGUUCGUAGGCGGUAAUACAUGUCAGAUGUGAAAUCUUGUGGCUUAACCACAUCAAGCAUCUGAAACUGUAUAACUUGAGUGGAGGAGAGGUAAGUGGAAUUCCUAGUGUAGCGGUGAAAUGCGUAGAUAUUAGGAAGAAUACCAGUAGCGAAGGCGACUUACUGGCCUCUAACUGACGCUGAUGAACGAAAGCGUAGGUAGCAAACAGGAUUAGAUACCCU